GCGGCAACAGCUCAAAUUUGAAAGCUAGCCUUCGGGUUCGCAUUGUAAUUUGUAGAGGAUGCUUUGGGUAAAACGCCAGUCUAAGUUCCUUGGAACAGGACGUCAUAGAGGGUGAGAAUCCCGUAUGUGACUGGAAAUGUUAACCUAUGUAAAGCUCCUUCGACGAGUCGAGUUGUUUGGGAAUGCAGCUCUAAAUGGGAGGUAAAUUUCUUCUAAAGCUAAAUAUUGGCGAGAGACCGAUAGCGCACAAGUAGAGUGAUCGAAAGAUGAAAAGCACUUUGGAAAGAGAGUUAAAAAGCACGUGAAAUUGUUGAAAGGGAAGCGCUUGCAAUCAGACUUGUUUAAACUGUUCGGCCGGUCUUCUGACCGGUUUACUCAGUUUGGACAGGCCAGCAUCAGUUUCGGCGGCCGGAUAAAGGCUCUGGGAAUGUGGCCUCCACUUCGGUGGAGGUGUUAUAGCCCAGUGUGUAAUACGGCCAGCCGGGACUGAGGUCCGCGCUUCGGCUAGGAUGCUGGCGUAAUGGUUGUAAGCGACCCGUCU
rnacentral:rRNA from 1 species